rnacentral:rRNA from 1 species
GACAGAGGGUGCAAACGUUGCUCGGAAUUACUGGGCGUAAAGGGCGUGUAGGCGGGAAGGCAAGUCGGGCGUGAAAGCCCCAGGCUCAACCUGGGAACUGCACUCGAAACUGCCUUUCUUGAGUGCCGGAGAGGAAAGCGGGAAUUCCGUGGUGUAGAGGUGAAAUUCGUAGAUAAUCGAGGAGGAACACCAGUGGCGAAGG